AUUGAACGCUGGCGGCAGGCCUAACACAUGCAAGUCGAACGAGUGGCGGACGGGUGAGUAAUGUCUGGGAAACUGCCUGAUGGAGGGGGAUAACUACUGGAAACGGUAGCUAAUACCGCAUACCAUCGGAUGUGCCCAGAUGGGAUUAGCUAGUAGGUGGGGUAAAGGCUCACCUAGGCGACGAUCCCUAGCGGGUCUGAGAGGAUGACCAGCCAAACUGGAACGGGGACACGGUCCAGACGCCUACGGGAGGAAGCAGUGGGGAAUAUUGGAAAAGGGGCACAAGCCUGAGGCAGACAUGCCGCGUGUAGGAAGAAGGCUUUCGGGUUGUAAAGUACUUUCAGCGGGGAGGCGUUACCCGCAGAAGAAGCACCGGCUAACUCCGUGCCAGCAGCCGCGGUAAUAC
rnacentral:rRNA from 1 species